rnacentral:rRNA from 1 species
AUUGAACGCUGGCGGCAGGCCUAACACAUGCAAGUCGAGCGAGCGGCGGACGGGGGAGACAUGUGUGGGACACUGCCUGAUGGCGGGGGAUAACUCCUGGAAACGGUAGCUAAUACCGCAUACCUUCAGCUGAUCCCAGAUGGGAUUGGCUAGUAGGUGGGGUAAUGGCUCACCUAGGCGACGAUCCCUAGCUGGUCUGAGAGGUUGACCAGCCACACUGGAACUGAGACACGGUCCAGACUCCUACGGGAGGCAGCAGUGGGGAAUAUUGCACAAUGGGCGCAAGCCUGAGGCAGCCAUGCCGCGUGUGUGAAGAAGGCCUUCGGGUUGUAAAGCACUGUCAGCGGGGAGGCGUUACCCAAAGAAGAAGCAACGGCUAACUCCGUGCCAGCCGCCGCGGUAAUAC